GUGAUAGCUUCGGCAGCACAUGUACUAAAACUGGAACGAUACAGAGAAGAUUAGCAUGGCCCCUGGGUGAGGAUGAAACGCAAAUUCGAGAAGCGUUGCACAUUAAA
rnacentral:snRNA from 1 species